GUAAACACUUCGCCCCUGCAGGGGUGGAGACUGGCUGUGUUCGGAUGCCGGGGGGGAGAGGUGCAAUCCUCUCCUCGAGGCUGGUGGUUGCGACCACCCCCACUCCCCAAAGGCAGGCUCCAGAGGCGGCGGGACAGAGCUCCUGCGACCCCAGUCGGUGCUCCGGGGAGCUCACCUGCCGAGGAGCUCCAACCUGAGCGGCAAGACCCAGAUGGACAUGGGCACCUAGGGGCUUUGGGGCAGCACUGGUUUACCACAUGUCCCUCCAUAUCCUGAAAAUGUAGGCCUCCGUGGACACACCUGUAUUCCUGAGCUGUGCAUGGCCUCUAUCCUGGGUGCACAGAGGAUUGGACCCACAGGGCAGAUGGGACUGGGAGGUGCUGGUCCUAGGGAAGCUCAAGUGGGACCUGGCUGCUGUGAUUGCACAUGAUUUCCUGGCCCUCAUUCUGCACCGGCUCUCUCUGCCCCGUGACCGACAGGCCUUGGUCAAAAAGCACGCCCAGACCUUUUUGGCCCUCUGUGCUACAGGUAAGAGCCCUGUGCACAUUUUUGCCAAAUUGGAAAAAUCCGAAGACUUAUAAGGGUGAG
rnacentral:sRNA from 1 species